UAAGGAAUAUUGGUCAAUGGACGCAAGCCUGAACCAGCCAUGCCGCGUGGAGGAUGAAGGUCCUCUGGAUUGUAAACUUCUUUUAUCUGGGAAGAAAUCCAUUUUUUCUAAGAUGGUUGACGGUACCAGACGAAUAAGCACCGGCUAACUCCGUGCCAGCAGCCGCGGUAAUACGGAGGGUGCAAGCGUUAUCCGGAUUCACUGGGUUUAAAGGUGCGUAGGUGGGCAGUUAAGUCAGUGGUGAAAUCUCCGGGCUUAACCCGGAAACUGCCAUUGAUACUAUCUGUCUUGAAUGCCGUGGAGGUAAGCGGAAUAUGUCAUGUAGCGGUGAAAUGCUUAGAUAUGACAUAGAACACCAAUUGCGAAGGCAGCUUACUACACGAAUAUUGACACUGAGGCACGAAAGCGUGGGGAUCAAACAGGAUUAGAUACCCUGGUAGUCCACGCCCUAAACGAUGGAUACUCGACAUACGCGAUACACAGUG
rnacentral:rRNA from 1 species